rnacentral:rRNA from 1 species
AACGCGAAGAACCUUACCUGGGCUCGAAAUGCAGGAGACCGGGGUAGAAAUAUCCUUUCCUCGCAAGAGGCUGCUGUAUAGGUGCUGCAUGGCUGUCGUCAGCUCGUGUCGUGAGAUGUUGGGUUAAGUCCCGCAACGAGCGCAACCCUCAUCCCUAGUUGCCACCGGGUAAUGCCGAGCACUCUAGUGAAACCGCCCCGGAUAACGGGGAGGAAGGUGGGGAUGACGUCAAGUCCUCAUGGCCUUUAUGUCCAGGGCUACACACGUGCUACAAUGGUCGGUACAAACCGUCGCAAAGCCGCAAGGUGGAGCUAAUCGGAAAAAGCCGGCCUCAGUUCGGAUUGGAGUCUGCAACUCGACUCCAUGAAGCUGGAAUCGCUAGUAAUCGCAGAUCAGAACGCUGCGGUGAAUACGUUCCCGGGCCUUGUACACACCGCAUAC